UUCCAGACUCCUACGGGAGGCAGCAGUGGGGAAUAUUGCACAAUGGGGGAAACCCUGAUGCAGCGACGCCGCGUGAAGGAAGAAGUAUUUCGGUAUGUAAACUUCUAUCAGCAGGGAAGAAAAUGACGGUACCUGACUAAGAAGCCCCGGCUAACUACGUGCCAGCAGCCGCGGUAAUACGUAGGGGGCAAGCGUUAUCCGGAUUUACUGGGUGUAAAGGGAGCGUAGGCGGUGAUGCAAGUCAGAAGUGAAAGCCCGCAGCUCAACUGCGGGACUGCGUUUGAAACUGUAUGACUAGAGUGCAGGAGAGGUAAGUGGAAUUCCUAGUGUAGCGGUGAAAUGCGUAGAUAUUAGGAGGAACACCAGUGGCGAAGGCGGCUUACUGGACUGUAAAUGACGCUGAGGCUCGAAAGCGUGGGGAGCAAACAGGAUUAGAUACCCUCGUAGU
rnacentral:rRNA from 1 species